CAAGGGUAACCUUUCUAAUAUUAAUCAUCAUGUUGAGGAUUCUGUGAGAAAUGAUACAAAAUAUAAUAGAAGAGGACCAUCAUGGUGUUCCUUAGAGAUUAACUAGAAAAGGGUCAUCUCCAACUUUUGGUUGAAGUCCAUCCUGCUUCUACUUCUGAAAGGCAGCAAGUUUUCCUGGAAAGAACAUCAAGGGAACUGGCUUUACUAGAGAAAAUUCAUCAAAACUUCCUCUCAAAGUAUCUGUCAACUGCCAAGAUAUGUAUUUGAGACUCCAAGUUCCCAGUUUGGAUAAGAGUGAUACAGAACUUCAUUAGAGACCCUGUCUUAUUUCUUGGAAACAAAGAAAAGCCAGUCAACAUCAGAGAUGCCCCCCACCCCACCCCCACCCCAACAGAAGGGAUCACCACCUUUGACUAUUCCUUCCUCAUUCACUCAAGGGAUCCAGAUCCAUAUCCACCAUAUGAAAACAAUAAAAACAACAAAUUUUGCUCCAGUUUGCUGGCCCCUGCUUCCAAGGUAACUGCACGCACACAAACUCCAUUUCCACAGAAUGUGAGAUUUUACUCAUCAAAAAGUCUUCAUAAUCAACUGACAACCUAUCUGCUUCAACAGUGUUGAAUCUCUUUCAGUAUUUCAAAUAUGUCUGUGUCUACUGAUGCUAUGUUAGUUCUUAAGUCUCAAAAUUAUCCUUUAGCAUUAAAAUAAAACCUGCAUUGUUGAAACCUAA